GACGAACGCUGGCGGCGUGCUUAACACAUGCAAGUCGAACGGAAAGGCUCCAGCUUGCUGGAGUACUCGAGUGGCGAACGGGUGAGUAACACGUGGGUAAUCUGCCCUGCACUCUGGGAUAAGCCUGGGAAACUGGGUCUAAUACUGGAUAUGACCUUUCUCCUUAUGGGGUUUGGUGGAAAGUUUUUCGGUGUAGGAUGAGCCCGCGGCCUAUCAGCUUGUUGGUGGGGUGAUGGCCUACCAAGGCGACGUCGGGUAGCCGGCCUGAGAGGGUGAUCGGCCAAAUGGGGACUGGGACACGGCCCAGACCCCUACGGGGGGGAGGAGGGGGGAAUAUUGCAAAAUGGGGGGAAGCCUGAUGCAGCGACGCCGGGUGGGGGAUGACGGCCUUCGGGUUGUAAACCUUUUUCCGCAGGGACGAAGCGUAAGUGACGGUACCGGAAGAAGAAGCACCGGCUAACUUUGU
rnacentral:rRNA from 1 species